rnacentral:rRNA from 1 species
UGCAGGCUGCAACCCGCCUGCAUGAAGCUGGAAUCGCUAGUAAUCGCGGAUCAGAAUGCCGCGGUGAAUACGUUCCCGGGUCUUGUACACACCGCCCGUCACACCAUGGGAGUCGGUGACGCCCGAAGUCAGUGACCCAACCUUAAGGAGGGAGCUGCCGAAGGCGGGACUGGUAACUGGGGUGAAGUCGUAACAAGGUAAC